AUCCUUUUGUAGUUCACGGGCAUGAUGAUUGGGUGUUCACGCUGCCGUGUGAGAUGUGCAGCCCACAAACCCUGUUACACCUUUGGCACAUGACCCACCUGUUA
ensembl:snoRNA small nucleolar RNA U13